rnacentral:rRNA from 1 species
UACGUAGGGUGCGAGCGUUAAUCGGAAUUACUGGGCGUAAAGCGUGCGCAGGCGGUUUUGUGAGUCAGGUGUGAAAUCCCCGGGCUUAACCUGGGAAUGGCAUUUGGGACUGCAAGGCUUGAGUGCGGCAGAGGAGACUGGAAUUCCUGGUGUAGCAGUGAAAUGCGUAGAUAUCAGGAGGAACACCGAUGGCGGAGGCAGGUCUCUGGGCUGACACUGACGCUCAUGCACGAAAGCGUGGGGAGCAAACAGG